GCGAUCAUACCAACACUAAUGCACUAGAUUAUAUCAGAACUCCGCAGUUAAGCGUACUUGGGCGAGAAUAGUACUAGAAUGGGUGACCCCCCGGAAAGUCCUCUUGUUGCACCCC